rnacentral:rRNA from 1 species
AGAAGCGCAUACGGUGGAUGCCUUGGCAGUCAGAGGCGAUGAAAGACGUGGUAGCCUGCGAAAAGCUUCGGGGAGUCGGCAAACAGACUUUGAUCCGGAGAUCUCUGAAUGGGGGAACCCACCUAGGAUAACCUAGGUAUCUUGUACUGAAUCCAUAGGUGCAAGAGGCGAACCAGGGGAACUGAAACAUCUAAGUACCCUGAGGAAAAGAAAUCAACCGAGAUUCCCUUAGUAGUGGCGAGCGAACGGGGAUUAGCCCUUAAGCUUCAUUGAUUUUAGCGGAACGCUCUGGAAAGUGCGGCCAUAGUGGGUGAUAGCCCCGUACGCGAAAGGAUCUUUGAAGUGAAAUCGAGUAGGACGGAGCACGAGAAACUUUGUCUGAACAUGGGGGGACCAUCCUCCAAGGCUAAAUACUACUGACUGACCGAUAGUGAACCAGUACCGUGAGGGAAAGGCGAAAAGAACCCCGGAGAGGGGAGUGAAUAGAACCUGAAACCGUAUGCGUACAAGCAGUGGGAGCCUACUUGUUAGGUGACUGCGUACCUUUUGUAUAAUGGGUCAGCGACUUAUAUUCAGUGGCAAGCUUAACCGUAUAGGGUAGGCGUAGCGAAAGCGAGUCUUAAUAGGGCGUUUAGUCGCUGGGUAUAGACCCGAAACCGGGCGAUCUAUCCAUGAGCAGGUUGAAGGUUAGGUAACACUGACUGGAGGACCGAACCCACUCCCGUUGAAAAGGUAGGGGAUGACUUGUGGAUCGGAGUGAAAGGCUAAUCAAGCUCGGAGAUAGCUGGUUCUCCUCGAAAGCUAUUUAGGUAGCGCCUCAUGUAUCACUCUGGGGGGUAGAGCACUGUUUCGGCUAGGGGGUCAUCCCGACUUACCAAACCGAUGCAAACUCCGAAUACCCAGAAGUGCCGAGCAUGGGAGACACACGGCGGGUGCUAACGUCCGUCGUGAAAAGGGAAACAACCCAGACCGCCAGCUAAGGUCCCAAAGUUGUGGUUAAGUGGUAAACGAUGUGGGAAGGCUUAGACAGCUAGGAGGUUGGCUUAGAAGCAGCCACCCUUUAAAGAAAGCGUAAUAGCUCACUAGUCGAGUCGGCCUGCGCGGAAGAUGUAACGGGGCUCAAACCACACACCGAAGCUGCGGGUGUCACGUAAGUGACGCGGUAGAGGAGCGUUCUGUAAGCCUGUGAAGGUGAGUUGAGAAGCUUGCUGGAGGUAUCAGAAGUGCGAAUGCUGACAUGAGUAACGACAAUGGGUGUGAAAAACACCCACGCCGAAAGACCAAGGGUUCCUGCGCAACGUUAAUCGACGCAGGGUUAGUCGGUUCCUAAGGCGAGGCUGAAAAGCGUAGUCGAUGGGAAACAGGUUAAUAUUCCUGUACUUCUGGUUACUGCGAUGGAGGGACGGAGAAGGCUAGGCCAGCUUGGCGUUGGUUGUCCAAGUUUAAGGUGGUAGGCUGAAAUCUUAGGUAAAUCCGGGGUUUCAAGGCCGAGAGCUGAUGACGAGUCGUCUUUUAGAUGACGAAGUGGUUGAUGCCAUGCUUCCAAGAAAAGCUUCUAAGCUUCAGGUAACCAGGAACCGUACCCCAAACCGACACAGGUGGUCGGGUAGAGAAUACCAAGGCGCUUGAGAGAACUCGGGUGAAGGAACUAGGCAAAAUGGCACCGUAACUUCGGGAGAAGGUGCGCCGGCUAGGGUGAAGGAUUUACUCCGUAAGCUCUGGCUGGUCGAAGAUACCAGGCCGCUGCGACUGUUUAUUAAAAACACAGCACUCUGCAAACACGAAAGUGGACGUAUAGGGUGUGACGCCUGCCCGGUGCCGGAAGGUUAAUUGAUGGGGUUAGCGCAAGCGAAGCUCUUGAUCGAAGCCCCGGUAAACGGCGGCCGUAACUAUAACGGUCCUAAGGUAGCGAAAUUCCUUGUCGGGUAAGUUCCGACCUGCACGAAUGGCGUAACGAUGGCGGCGCUGUCUCCACCCGAGACUCAGUGAAAUUGAAAUCGCUGUGAAGAUGCAGUGUAUCCGCGGCUAGACGGAAAGACCCCGUGAACCUUUACUGUAGCUUUGCACUGGACUUUGAGCCUGCUUGUGUAGGAUAGGUGGGAGGCUUUGAAGCGUGGACGCCAGUUCGCGUGGAGCCAUCCUUGAAAUACCACCCUGGCAUGCUUGAGGUUCUAACUCUGGUCCGUAAUCCGGAUCGAGGACAGUGUAUGGUGGGCAGUUUGACUGGGGCGGUCUCCUCCUAAAGAGUAACGGAGGAGUACGAAGGUGCGCUCAGACCGGUCGGAAAUCGGUCGUAGAGUAUAAAGGCAAAAGCGCGCUUGACUGCGAGACAGACACGUCGAGCAGGUACGAAAGUAGGUCUUAGUGAUCCGGUGGUUCUGUAUGGAAGGGCCAUCGCUCAACGGAUAAAAGGUACUCCGGGGAUAACAGGCUGAUACCGCCCAAGAGUUCAUAUCGACGGCGGUGUUUGGCACCUCGAUGUCGGCUCAUCACAUCCUGGGGCUGAAGCCGGUCCCAAGGGUAUGGCUGUUCGCCAUUUAAAGUGGUACGCGAGCUGGGUUUAGAACGUCGUGAGACAGUUCGGUCCCUAUCUGCCGUGGACGUUUGAGAUUUGAGAGGGGCUGCUCCUAGUACGAGAGGACCGGAGUGGACGAACCUCUGGUGUUCCGGUUGUCACGCCAGUGGCAUUGCCGGGUAGCUAUGUUCGGAAAAGAUAACCGCUGAAAGCAUCUAAGCGGGAAACUUGCCUCAAGAUGAGAUCUCACUGGGAACUUGAUUCCCCUGAAGGGCCGUCGAAGACUACGACGUUGAUAGGCUGGGUGUGUAAGCGUUGUGAGGCGUUGAGCUAACCAGUACUAAUUGCCCGUGAGGCUUGACC